GGGCCUCUAGCUCACCGGUAGAGCAGCGGGCUUUUACCCCGCGGGUACUGGGAUCAACACCCAGGGGGCCCACAA
rnacentral:tRNA from 1 species